CAUGUUCAUGUACAGGAAACCAAGAAGACUGUAAACACAGGAACAGUGAACAACAAACACAGACGUUUCAGGCUGGAAGUCACAUUCUGGACAAGGUGAAAGGAGAUUCUCAUAUCCCUGGGAAGCCAACCUAAUCAGAGGUAAACUCUUAAGAGAAGAAACUAACUAACUAUGAUUCAGCACAUUACAAAAAGGAUUUAUACCCAUUCUUCGACAACCAAAGGAAACACCAUCUGAGGUCUAAACAAUGCACCGGGAAAUCAACACCUCAUUAAUUCAGAAUAACUAAGUGAAGUCUAAAAUGCAGAAUAACUCAGAUUUAAGGAACUGUCAGUACUACUCACAUGGAACGCACAGUACACAUUAAUACACCUGUGGGUAACGAAUGAAAAAGAGAUGCAUUAAUAAAGCCUGUGACGCAUAUUAAA